AAUAUCCGUUCGCCCUCCAAAAAACCUUGCCGUCGCUCCCACGCGUAGCACCGGUCCUCCUUCCACCUUCCCCUUCCACCCAUCUGGCCUUCCCGCCCGCCUCCCCCCGAUCCCCACGCAUCUCCUCCGGUGGCCGCCUUCGGCGAGUGGAAUCUGUUCCUCACUGGCUCGCUGCAUUCUUCCCCUGCGGGGUGUUGGUGUGGGGAUGGGAUCUGACAGGAUCGGGAUGAGGAGGCGGCUGCGAGGUACACGCUCUGGACGCCGCGCGUGUAUGCGCUCAUUGCCGAGGCCGAUGCCGCUCUUUCUGGAGGCUGACGCAGCUCUUACUGGAAGAAAUCCCACGGGGUCAAGCGGGGUGACGAGGGCACCUACAUCCUUUCCUGUUUGGGCGCUGGAGGGCGACGGGAGUCAUCGAUUCUCCGUCUGGCUCCUGCACUAGGGGACUGCGGCUGCUACAAAAGAUGCAGCAAUUGAAAGAUGCACAGGUACUUGAUGAGAUGCCACUAAGUCAGUUUGUUAUCUCAGGUUAUAUUGGACGGUAAUUUAUUUUACAAUACAACUACAUCUUUCUUGAAUCAGACUCGGCCUAUUUCUGUGCAAUUUUGUUCUAUAGCUAUUUUUUGGGUGGCUUUCUUUGUUUUGCUUUAUGUUGUAUAGUCAGUACAAAACUCAAGCCCCAUCAUCUGACAAUUCUGUAGUAAUGACUGAAACUAUUCGAGGACAAAUCUUCGAUUGUUGUUGUCGUUGGAAAUUUAGAGUUGCAUGGUUGGCAUGGUCAACAUGGCAAAGAAAGUAUAGAAGAUUUGCCAAACCAGGUAUGGGCUUGUAGAGUACCUCAGGUAAUCAGAUUCUGCACCCAAAUUUAAUUUUACUUGCUUUUAAAUGAUUCUAGGGCACAUGAUGUUGAUAUGCUAGAUUGUGUUGUAGUUUAUGCUUGUCUGAUUAUGUAUAUUUUCUUCCAGAAUGUCAUAUUUCUUUUUUGAGAAAUUAUAUAGGUGUAGGCUGAGCAUGGACGUUUGCGCUGUUGUGUGUUGAGGUCAAUCUCAGUUUGGUACACAGCAGAGCUAAGGGCGUGCACUCGCCAAAUAUGGUGUAUGUCGGACUUUCCCCAUUUAUUUUUUCUCACACCAUACGAGAAUUAUACAACUAAAUAUAUCGAGAUUAACAUUAGUUUCCCCUGCUGAAGCUUGUGCAAUUGUAUUUAUGUUGAGCAGAGAAUUGGUCAACAAUAAAGGAGAACAAGAAUUGUAUUUUGUAUUACUAUUUUUAUACAAACUUUCUUCCCACACCAUUAUGUAAUCUUUCCCUUUUUGGGUUGCAGUGUGGUCUCUGCUAACCAGAUUUUAUAUAUGAUCACUGCUAAAUUA